rnacentral:rRNA from 1 species
GGACGAACGCUGGCGGCGUGCCUAAUACAUGCAAGUCGAACGGUCUUUCUAUGGAAGCUUGCUUCCACUGAGAAGAUAGUGGCGAACGGGUGAGUAACACGUGGGUAACCUGCCCAUAAGAGGGGGAUAACAUCCGGAAACGGGUGCUAAUACCGCAUAGUUUUUCUUGAUUGCAUGAUUGAGAAAGGAAAGACGGCCUUUGUGCUGUCGCUUAUGGAUGGACCCGCGGCGUAUUAGUUAGUUGGUGAGGUAACGGCUCACCAAGACGAUGAUACGUAGCCGACCUGAGAGGGUGAUCGGCCACAUUGGGACUGAGACACGGCCCAAACUCCUACGGGAGGCAGCAGUAGGGAAUCUUCCGCAAUGGACGAAAGUCUGACGGAGCAACGCCGCGUGAGUGAAAGAAGGUUUUCGGAUCGUAAAACUCUGUUGUCAGAGAAGAACAAGUUGGAGAGUAACUGCUCCAGCCUUGACGGUAUCUGACCAGAAAGCCACGGCUAACUACGUGCCAGCCGCCGC